GGGCAGGUAACUCAGGUGGUUAGAGUAUACGCCUGAUAAGCGUAAAGUCGGGGGUUCGACUCCCUUCUUGCCCA
rnacentral:tRNA from 1 species